UUUGUUGACCUCUGUCUGAGGCGCAGAGACUACAGAGAGACAAUUUGUCUAGAUAAAGUCACGCAAGUCAUUUGCCAAGCCUGUUGAUUUGAGGAUGAUGAUUCACAUUCAGCUUUCACAAAAGCCUCUUCCUGAGUUGUUUUGCAUCGCUGGCAUGGUUUUCCCAGGCACAGCCUUCACAUACGGCAUGCAUGGUUAUUAGAAGGUUCCGGGCCUCAACAUCCUCACCACCCUGCAGGAGGGCGUUCUCAGCCAGGGGAAAGCCAAGUGGAGCUUCAGGAAUUGCUUCUGGGUGCUACACUGCAUGACCGAGGCCUACUAUCUGUUUACCAGGUGUAUGCACUAGCUCACUCAUUAUAUAGAUCAGUGGCUAAACCGCACUGUCACGCUGGAACUAUUGCAUGACAUAGGGCUAGGUAGAGAGAGUGCGAUGAAAACUGGAGGAAACUCGGAUCAUGUCAACACUAACGCACCUAAGAAGCGCUGUGUGUAAGCAUUUUGGAUUUGACUCUAUCAAUGGCAAAAUUAUCGAUAUAGAUAAGGCUGUUUGCCGACUUUGUAUGAAGCAACUACUUUACAAUAACGUUACCACAACAACGAAUGGAGUCACCUGUUAGCUUCUCACCCAAGCGAGGCUAAAGAAUCAGAGCACCAACAGCUACACAACCUUGCCUAACUUUCUAUUUUUUGCCUAUAAAUUACAUAAUGCUAAUGUUCUGUAUAAUUUGAAUGAAUUCCAUAGCACUGUGAAUUCAUUCGAACUUUAUUUUGGGAAAAAGUGACAGCCCUAGUGCGUAUGCUGCAUGGGAGAUAAACCUGCUAUUCUGCUGCUCUCUUCUUUUUAAGCUUCAAGUCUGUUUUCUCCCAACCCUGCGUGUCAGUGAAGCAUGGAUAUACAUACUUUGACUGCUAUGCAAAUUAACUACAUAUUCACAAUAAAGAAAUCCAUACAUAAUUAUGUUAAACUAAUGUUGGCCAUCUGCACCAAGAUUUCAGUUUCUACUGAUAGGCUAGAUGAUCAGUAAUUUUGAGAAUUUUCACUGUAUUGAUGAUAGGGAUUAAUCAUGUUAUUUUAUAUAUAAUGUGUAUAUUUGUUGUUUUUUUAUUUUAAACUGUAUAUUCUGCAUAAUUCAAUCACUGUAUUGCAAGUCAAAAACUGAAAAUCACUCUCUUGCCUAAAGCUUGUGCAAAAUACUGCACCAGAGUUUUAACUGGUUCCAAAUGUAGAGACUACUACAUCACUCUAAAUUAAGCAUCCCAACAGAGGAUACCAGUCAGUUUUACAAAUGGUUUUAAGAUUUUGCUGAUCACAUUUAAAGAACAGCUUGAUCUGGCCCCAACCUUAAUUUCAGACCUUUUUAAACCCUUAAUGUUCCUGCACUAAAAGAGGCUAGGUUUGAUCAUGCUCAAUUUCUGUUCAAGCGGCAAACAGCACUCCUUUAGAGCUGCAACCUCAUGGCUCCCCUCUGCCACUGCUGUGAGGGUAGGAGGCAAAGUUGACAUUGUGUGUACAUUAAAAAAAAAUACAGGCAACAACGUUGCCACCUGUUGGUGUGCAGGCACUUCUAAGAGCGUGAUACAUAUUUUCUAUUUUUGUAUUCUCAGGACAAGGCUUGCUGAGGCUCAUUGCAGAGGCUCACAGCCAUUGUUGGAAUUCUGAAAGGAAGUGGCGCUGAGCGAUCCUUGCAUGUGUGACUGUGUGUCCUCUGAGUGGAGCAGAGGAGAGACAGUGAACCACGUGAAGUACUUGAGUUGACGACAACUACAGUCGUUGCGUUAAUAUCCAGGAGGUGACCCUCUCAUUGGAAUCUUGGUCAUUCUCUUUCUUGGAAGGAUAAACAUCGGAGGAACAAAUUGCCCUGCAGCAUUCAUCAUGCAGACAGUGGUAACAUUAAAUCCUCUCUCAGCGUUUGUCAUCCGCCCGACUUGUCAAGCCCCUUUUGUUGCAACCACAGGCUGCAGUUUCUGGACAUUUUGGCCUCCUAUCUGAUCCAUGUUCCACAGCUAGGUGGGAAAUAUGUUGUUCAGCAUCUAAAGCAUGUUUUCAUAAACAUGUCUGGCAGCAGCAUGAACUUUGGCUACAAGCCAUUUAUAUUAUAUUUUUGUAUUUCUGGACCUAUUUGAAUAUAUUUUUAAAUCAUAUAAACACUUUUUAAUCAAAUUUCCAAGUAAUAUAUGGUGAAGAGUUCCUAAUGUGUGGAUGAUCAAUGCAUAAAGAAAUUUUUGAUGGAUUGACAGUCCAGGCCUAUGGGAUCUUCCAUCCUCCAUACCUGCCUUGCUUGACUAUCUCCUCAGAGUAGGCUCCUCAAAUCUAAAUCUCGAUGAACUCAAAAAUCAAAAUGUCUAGAAGAGGUGAAGAAGGACCUGUCACUCUGUCUGUGGUUCGUGAGCUGCUGGAACAGCAGAAGACUUUUUACAAAGAACUACUUGAGCAACAAGAAAAGAGCUACAAGUCAUGUUUAUAAAUUUUAGUUGAUUCUACUAUCUCCCAUGUUGAUGGUCUUGUCAAAGAUAUUUCAAGCAUAUCUAAGGAUAUUCAGGAGCUUAAAGCCAGUCUACAAUAUACUCUGGCUGACUUGGAUGACUUGAAUGCCAAUAAGGAGAAAAGUAUGGAGGAAAUCAGAGCUUUAACAGAGUCUCUCACGUCACCGAACAUCCACUAAUGACCUGUCUAAUGACCUGUCUUCAAAAUCUGAAUCAUGGUCUGACACUGAGAGCAAAGCAAAAAAGCUUUUCUCUGACCACCUCAAAAUUGACCCCAAGCUCAUUGAAAUUGAGAGAGCACAUCGCAUAGGAAAUUAUGGACACACUGGACAUCCAAGAUCUAUUGUACUGAAACUACUUUGGUUUAAGGAUAACGAAGAAAUCCUGAAACGUGCAAAGAACUUCAAGGGUACUAACUUUUUUAUUAAUGAAGACUUUUCAGAAAGAUCUGCUGCCCCAACUCAGAGCUGAGAGACUGAAAGGCAACGUUGCCUACUUGAAGUAUGACUGUGCUGUUUUUAGAGUCACCCUACUGAAUCAUGAGUUGCUCAACUGAAUGUGCUAAAGUUGAAUGAAGGUGCUAAAGUAAUACCCCUUUACAAAUCAGGUGAUCAUAAGCACUUAGUUGAGAGCAACAUCCUGUACAAACAUCAAUAUGGUUUUUGAAAAAAAUACUCAGAAUUGGCACUGUUACAGCUUGUCAACAAGAUUUCUUCUGCCUAGGAUGAAAAAAAAUUUUGCACUCGGCGUCUUUUUAGACUUAUCCAAAGCGUUUGACACAGUUAACCACAAUAUUCUUAUUUCCAAGUUUAACAAAUAUGGAUUACAGGAUGUUGCACUCAAAUGGCUAGUCAGUUAUUUAAACAAUAGAGAACAAUUUGUAACCAUAACUGGCUGCAUCUCAAAUAGAUUAAAAUUAUUUUGUGGAUUACCUCAAGGUUCUAUCCUUGGUCCACUUCUAUUCUUGAUUUACAUUAAUGACUUACCCAUGGUUUGCAAAGAUUUUUUUCCUAUUUUAUUUGCUGAUGAUACUAAUCUCAUAGCUACUCAUGAUGAUUUCAAAGUACUGAUCCAGCAUGCAAACAACGAAAUGUCCUUCAUUUCCAAAUGGUUUCGGAUGAACAAACUCACUGUCAAUGUCGGAAAAUCUAAUUUUAUGAUAUUUUGCUAUAAAAACAAAAAAUAUUUAAAAGAUGAUGCUAAAAUAUUCAUUAAUGAAAAUUCUUAGGAGUUAUUGUAGAUGAAAGACUAACUUGGAAAAAACAUAUUGAACAUGUUUGCAAAAGGUCAAUGAAAAUGAUUGGAAUACUGAGGAAAGUUUGUUCUCUGAUUCAUCCCUCUUCUUAUUUAAAUCUGUACUAUAGUCUAAUCUAUCCAUAUAUCAAUUAUUGUAAUAUUGUUUGGGCUGCUACGCAUCCUUCACACCUCAAUCGGUUACUUUUAAUCCAAAGGUUUUUAGGAAUGAUUUGAAACUCCACUAGCCAAGAACCAUCUGCACCUUUGUUUAGGAAAUUUAAAAUUUUGUCAAUUUAUUCUGUAAAUAUUCUUCUAACAUGUGUGUUUAUGUUCAAAUUCAUAUAUCACAGGAAAAACCUUCCAGAUACAUGUCAUAAUUUUUUCCUUUCAUCAUCAGACAUUCACUCUUAUUCAAUGAGGCGAUCAAAGGACUUUCAUUUACCUUAUUGUCACAUUUCCAGUCAUCAGUUUUUAUCAAAUUUAGAGGUCCUCAUCUCUGGAAAUUCAAUUCAAAGUACAACUUUGAAGUCGUCAUCCCCUUUAAUAACGUUUAAAACACAUUUUUAAAAAUAUCUUUUAUCUAAAUAGAAUUUUGUGUGAUUGGGUAUGUAUUACACCUCUUGCACGUUUAAAG